rnacentral:rRNA from 1 species
UACGUAGGGCGCAAGCGUUAUCCGGAAUUAUUGGGCGUAAAGAGCUCGUAGGCGGUUCAGUAAGUCGGGUGUGAAAACUCUGAGCUCAACCCAGAGACGCCACCCGAUACUGCUGUGACUUGAGUACGGUAGGGGAGCAGGGAAUUCCUGGUGUAGCGGUGAAAUGCGCAGAUAUCAGGAGGAACACCGGUGGCGAAGGCGCUGCUCUGGGCCGAAACUGACGCUGAGGAGCGAAAGCGUGGGUAGCAAACAGG